UCCAAAACGAGUGGCAACGAGCGAGGU
rnacentral:sRNA from 1 species